rnacentral:rRNA from 1 species
AUUGAACGCUGGCGGCAGGCCUAGCACAUGCAAGUCGAGCGGCAGCGGGAAAGUAGCUUGCUACUUUUGCCGGCGAGCGGCGGACGGGUGAGUAAUGCCUGGGGAUCUGCCCAGUCGAGGGGGAUAACUACUGGAAACGGUAGCUAAUACCGCAUACGCCCUACGGGGGAAAGCAGGGGACCUUCGGGCCUUGCGCGAUUGGAUGAACCCAGGUGGGAUUAGCUAGUUGGUGAGGUAAUGGCUCACCAAGGCGACGAUCCCUAGCUGGUCUGAGAGGAUGAUCAGCCACACUGGAACUGAGACACGGUCCAGACUCCUACGGGAGGCAGCAGUGGGGAAUAUUGCACAAUGGGGGAAACCCUGAUGCAGCCAUGCCGCGUGUGUGAAGAGGGCCUUCGGGUUGUAAAGCACUUUCAGCGAGGAGGAAAGGUUGGUAGCUAAUAACUGCCAGCUGUGACGUUACUCGCAGAAGAAGCACCGGCUAACUCCGUGCCAGCAGCCGCAGUAAUAC